rnacentral:tRNA from 1 species
UCCUGGCUGGCUCAUUCGGUGGGAGCAUGUGACUCUUGAACACACAUCAUGAGUUCAAGCCCCAUGUUGGGUU